GGGUUGUGAGGUUAAGCGACUAAGCGUACACGGUGGAUGCCCUGGCAGUCAGAGGCGAUGAAGGGCGUGCUAAUCUGCGAUAAGCGCCGGUAAGGUGAUAUGAACCGUUAUAACCGGCGAUACCCGAAUGGGGAAACCCAGUGUGACUCGUCACACUAUCAUUAACUGAAUCCAUAGGUUAAUGAGGCGAACCGGGGGAACUGAAACAUCUAAGUACCCCGAGGAAAAGAAAUCAACCGAGAUUCCCCCAGUAGCGGCGAGCGAACGGGGAGGAGCCCAGAGCCUGAAUCAGCAUGUGUGUUAGUGGAAGCGUCUGGAAAGGCGCGCGAUACAGGGUGACAGCCCCGUACACAAAAGCGCAUGUGCUGUGAGCUCGAUGAGUAGGGCGGGACACGUGGUAUCCUGUCUGAAUAUGGGGGGACCAUCCUCCAAGGCUAAAUACUCCUGACUGACCGAUAGUGAACCAGUACCGUGAGGGAAAGGCGAAAAGAACCCCGGCGAGGGGAGUGAAAAAGAACCUGAAACCGUGUACGUACAAGCAGUGGGAGCACAGGUUUACCUGUGUGACUGCGUACCUUUUGUAUAAUGGGUCAGCGACUUAUAUUCUGUAGCAAGGUUAACCGAAUAGGGGAGCCGGAGGGAAACCGAGUCUUAAUUGGGCGUUAAGUUGCAGGGUAUAGACCCGAAACCCGGUGAUCUAGCCAUGGGCAGGUUGAAGGUUGGGUAACACUAACUGGAGGACCGAACCGACUAAUGUUGAAAAAUUAGCGGAUGACCUGUGGCUGGGGGUGAAAGGCCAAUCAAACCGGGAGAUAGCUGGUUCUCCCCGAAAGCUAUUUAGGUAGCGCCUCGUGAAUUCAUCUCCGGGGGUAGAGCACUGUUUCGGCUAGGGGGCCAUCCCGGCUUACCAACCCGAUGCAAACUGCGAAUACCGGAGAAUGUUAUCACGGGAGACACACGGCGGGUGCUAACGUCCGUCGUGAAGAGGGAAACAACCCAGACCGCCAGCUAAGGUCCCAAAGUCAUGGUUAAGUGGGAAACGAUGUGGGAAGGCCCAGACAGCCAGGAUGUUGGCUUAGAAGCAGCCAUCAUUUAAAGAAAGCGUAAUAGCUCACUGGUCGAGUCGGCCUGCGCGGAAGAUGUAACGGGGCUAAACCAUGCACCGAAGCUGCGGCAGCGACACUCAGGUGUUGUUGGGUAGGGGAGCGUUCUGUAAGCCUG
rnacentral:rRNA from 1 species